rnacentral:rRNA from 1 species
GUGGCAAGCUAGUAAGGGCGUACGGUGGAUGCCUUGGCGCCAAGGGCCGAUGAAGGACGUGGCUGACUGCGAAAAGCUUCGGGGAGCCGCCAGCAGGCUGUGAUCCGGAGAUCUCCGAAUGGGGAAACCCGCCCGGGGGAAUGCCCGGGCACCGCGCGCUGAAUCCAUAGGCGCGCGGAGGGAACCGGGGGAACCGAAACAUCCCAGUACCCCGAGGAAGAGAUAAGAAUUCCCCCAGUAGUGGCGAGCGAAAAGGGAACAGCCCAAACCCGGUCCGUGCUCAAGGCUGCAGCCGUUGCGGACCGGGGGUAGCAAGGCCCGGCCGGGCCUCUGCAGGGGCCCAAGGGAGUUACCAACCUGUCGGCUAGCCGAACGGCCCGGAAAGGCCGGCCAUAGAGGGUGAAAGCCCCGUAGGCGAAAGCGGACAGGCUCCCGCCGGUGGCCUUGAGUACCACGGGGAACGACGGCCCUGUGGGAAGCAGGGAGGACCACCUCCCAAGGCUAAACACCCUUGGCGACCGAUAGCGGACCAGUACCGUGAGGGAAAGGUGAAAAGAACCGCGGUGAGCGGAGUGAAAUAGAGCCUGA